GCGCUGGCUUCAGCAGCACAUACACUAAAACUGGGACGAUACAGAGAAGACUAGCAUGGCCCUGCGUAAGGAUGACCUGCAAAUUCGUGAAGCGCUGCAUAAUUUU
ensembl:snRNA U6 U6 spliceosomal RNA